UGCGCAGGCGGUUAUGUAAGACAGAGGUGAAAUCCCCGGGCUCAACCUGGGAACUGCGUUUGGAACUGUCAGACUAGAGUGCGUCAGAGGGGGGUGGAAUUCCGCGUGUAGCAGUGAAAUGCGUAGAGAUGCGGAGGAACACCGAUGGCGAAGGCAGCCCCCUGGGAUGACACUGACGCUCAUGCACGAAAGCGUGGGGAGCAAACAGGAUUAGAUACCCCGGUA
rnacentral:rRNA from 1 species